UACAGAGGUCCCGAGCGUUGUUCGGAUUCACUGGGCGUAAAGGGUGCGUAGGUGGCUUGAAAAGUUUGAUGUGAAAGCUCAGGGCUUAACCCUGAAAUGGCAUUGAAUACUGUCGAGCUGGAGGUUUGUAGGGGGGACUGGAAUUCUUGGUGUAGCAGUGAAAUGCGUAGAUAUCAAGAGGAACACCAGUGGCGAAGGCGGGUCUCUGGGCCGAUACUGACGCUGAGGAGCGAAAGCGUGGGGAGCGAACAGG
rnacentral:rRNA from 1 species